rnacentral:rRNA from 1 species
GACGAACGCUGGCGGCGUGCUUAACACAUGCAAGUCGAACGGAAAGGCCAGGCUUUUGUUGGUUUCUCGUUUGGCGAGCGGGUGAGUAACACGUGUGUAAACUGCCCUUGACUUUGGGGGAACAUCACGGAACAGGGGCGAAUAUACGGUAUGAGCUGCUGAUGCAUGGUGGGGGAUGGAAAGAUUCGGCCGUGGGGGAUGGACUCGCGGCUUAUCAGCUUGCUUGGGAGGUAGUUGCGUUCCAAGGGUACGACGGGUAGGCUGCCUGGGAGGGUGACCGGCGACAUUGGGACUGCGAUACGGAGCAGAAUGCUAUGGGCCGCAGCAGUGGAGAAUAUUACACAAUGGGGGGAAGCGUGAUGCAGCAGCGCCGCGUGCGGGAUGACGGCCUUCGAGUUGUAAACAGAUUUGUCAUGUACCGAGGACUGCGUGACGGUAAUGAGUAAAGAAGCCCCGGCUAACUACGUG